UUGAACGCUGGCGGCAGGCCUAACACAUGCAAGUCGAGCGGAUGAAGGGAGCUUGCUCCUGGAUUCAGCGGCGGACGGGUGAGUAAUGCCUAGGAAUCUGCCUGGUAGUGGGGGAUAACGUCCGGAAACGGGCGCUAAUACCGCAUACGUCCUGAGGGAGAAAGUGGGGGAUCUUCGGACCUCACGCUAUCAGAUGAGCCUAGGUCGGAUUAGCUAGUUGGUGGGGUAAAGGCCUACCAAGGCGACGAUCCGUAACUGGUCUGAGAGGAUGAUCAGUCACACUGGAACGGAGACACGGUCCAGACUCCUACGGGAGGCAGCAGUGGGGAAUAUUGGACAAUGGGCGAAAGCCUGAUCCAGCCAUGCCGCGUGUGUGAAGAAGGUCUUCGGAUUGUAAAGCACUUUAAGUUGGGAGGAAGGGCAGUAAGUUAAUACCUUGCUGUUUUGACGUUACCAACAGAAUAAGCACCGGCUAACUUCGUG
rnacentral:rRNA from 1 species